rnacentral:ncRNA from 1 species
UCGUCAGGCUCAAUUGGGCUCACUCAGCAGGAACGCUCAGUGGAAUAUCUGUCAAAGUCGGUGAAAUCUUAUCCGCACAUGCGGAUUGACAAUACCGAGCCAAGCCCUCCGGGGAAGGUGUAGAGACUAGACGGCAGACUCCCCAUCUCUGCUCUGCAGAAAGGGAGAAGGUAUAGUCCAGACCACAAAUCCAUUUUUGG